AAAAAAAUUAAAAUUUUCAAAGGAUAAACUUAGAAAUGUGCUAUUUUGGUCAUUUUAGUUUUGGAGUGCUAUUUUUGUGAUAUAAACGUAGAAAUGUGCUAUUUUGGAGAUUUACCCAUUGUAAUUUGAAAGUUGGUGGUUUUGUACUUGGACUUUAAGCUGGACGAGAGCUAUACACCCAGUAAGAUCUAUUCGUGCUGGUGAUGGCUUUCAUAACUUAAAGGUAAUCCUUUUUUUGUUAACAAAGAAGAGAUUUUUUUUUAAAUUUAUUUCUUCUAGUUUGUGAUGUGGGUUGAUUGAUGCUUCUUGUUGUUGUCUGCUUCUCUUCAUUUGUUUAGGAGAUGAAAAGUGUGGAACUUGUAAAGCCAUCUGGUUGGGUUUGUGUAUCUAUGUCUGGAUCUGAUCCACCGGAUACAUUUGUCAAUACAUUCAUGUUGCAGAUAUCCAUUUUGUCAAACCACCUCAACGGCCCUAGACCGUGCGUAUGCCUUUUCGAUUGCAGGAAUCGUAUUCCGCGCCAACCAUUUCAGUUUACUUCAACGGAGUUUCUCACUUAUUCCACACUGAGAUGAGAAAGUUUAAUUGUGAAAGAUUAUAUGUUGUUGUGUAAAGCUUUCUGUUUAUAUAUUACGUUGGAUACAACAAUCAUUACAUUCAUUAAAGCUUAUCCACCGAAGAGCCC